rnacentral:rRNA from 1 species
CAGCGCCACGAGUGGCAAUCUACUUUAUUUGGCCUAAAGCGUCCGUAGCUGGUUUUGUAAAUCUCUUGUGAAAUUGGUCAGCUCAACUGGCCAGCGUGCAGGAGAGACUGCUUAACUAGGGACCGGGAGGAGUCAGAGGUAUGCUGUGGGGAGCGGUAAAAUGCUAUAAUCCUCGGUAGACCACCUGUGGCGAAGGCGUCUGACUAGAACGGGUCCGACAGUGAGGGACGAAAGCCAGGGGAGCAAACCGGAUUAGAUACCCGCGUAGUCC